CUUUAUACCCCCUCUACCAUAGAGGGACUCUUCUAGUGGGUGAGAAUACGGUAUACGUUUCUUUCAAAAAAAAAAAAACGGAACCUCGUCUUUCGCCCCCUCGGCAGCUGUUGCCUCCGCGCUUUAUUCCAAGUUUACGG
rfam:Camelus ferus unplaced genomic scaffold scaffold261, whole genome shotgun sequence.